rnacentral:rRNA from 1 species
GACGAACGCUGGCGGCGCGCCUAACACAUGCAAGUCGAACGAGAGAUGAGGAGCUUGCUCUUCAAAUCGAGUGGCGAACGGGUGAGUAACGCGUGAGGAACCUGCCUCAAAGAGGGGGACAACAGUUGGAAACGACUGCUAAUACCGCAUAAGCCCACGGCUCGGCAUCGAGCAGAGGGAAAAGGAGCGAUCCGCUUUGAGAUGGCCUCGCGUCCGAUUAGCUAGUUGGUGAGGUAACGGCCACCAAGGCGACGAUCGGUAGCCGGACUGAGAGGUUGAACGGCCACAUUGGGACUGAGACACGGCCCAGACUCCUACGGGAGGCAGCAGGU